rnacentral:rRNA from 1 species
GACGAACGCUGGCGGCGUGCUUAACACAUGCAAGUCGAACGGACAGGCCCUGCUUUUGUGGGGUGCUCGAGUGGCGAACGGGUGAGUAACACGUGAGUAACCUGCCCUUGACUUUGGGAUAACUUCAGGAAACUGGGGCUAAUACCGGAUAGGAGCUCCUGCUGCAUGUUGGGGGUUGGAAAGUUUCGGCGGUUGGGGAUGGACUCGCGGCUUAUCAGCUUGUUGGUGGGGUAGUGGCUUACCAAGGCUUUGACGGAUAGCCGGCCUGAGAGGGUGACCGGCCACAUUGGGACUGAGAUACGGCCCAGACUCCUACGGGAGGCAGCAGUGGGGAAUAUUGCAGAAUGGGCGGAAGCCUGAUGCAGCAACGCCGCGUGCGGGAUGACGGCCUUCGGGUUGUAAACCGCUUUCGCCUGUGACGAAGCGUGAGUGACGGUAAUGGGUAAAGAAGCACCGGCUAACUACGUG